GCACCUUGGCUGGGGUCCGGCGGGGCAGCCUGAGGAGAGGGCGCCGGCGGCGGCACCAACUGCAACAGCGAGGCCUCUUCUGGCUCGGGCGGUUACGCGGCUCCUUCGAGAGAAGAGUGAAAGCAUAUAUCAAAUUACCUGUGCACGGUGGAAAGAUAACAGCUUCCCCACCCAAUGAGCCAUCCAACACCCAGGCUACAAGCUGUAGAUCACUUUAUUGUCUGCACCCUCGGAAUGCUGUCUAGCCAUCUGUUAUAUAUUUUAAACAUGACGGUGCAGUGCCGGCUGUAUGACAAACCUUGGUUAUAACUCUGUCAUCCCGAUUAAAGUGGGCAGUGGCACAAUCAUGGCUUACUGCAACCUCAGCUUCCUAGGCUCAAGCGAUCCUACUACCUCAGCCUCCUGAGUAGCUGGGAAUACAGGCAAGUACCACCAUGCCCCACUAAUUAUUUUCUGUAGAGACAAGGCCUUACUAUGUUGUCCAGGCUGAUCUUAAACUCCCAGAGUCAAGUGAUCCUCCCGCCUCAGCCUCGCAAAGUGUUGGGUACAGGUAUGAGCCACCAUGCCAGGCCUGAAACAUAGUAUCCUUAAAUUUGUUUGUUCGACAACAGUUGUUACUGAGUCACCUCUCCCAUUCUCAAUUGAAAAAUGGGAAUGAGUAAAUUAUCGGUGUAAGGAUCUUUUGCUCCCUCCAGGACAAUUCAUUUUAUAAGCUUGAGAACCAUUUUCAUGGGUAGUAUGCUGUCCUUGCUAACUUCUUUCCCUUUCAAAACUGCUUUAUAUCUUCAUUUAAGUCUUACUUUGGAAGAGAGAGAGAGAGAGAGAGAGAGAGUGUGUGUGUGUGUGUGUGUGUGUGUGUGUCUUGGGGAGAAUACUAAGAGGCAGGAAGUCUUCCAAAUUCCCAUUUUUUUGCCAGUGAUUUUCCCUGGCAAAUCAAUAUAUUUCCUGCCUGUUGUCAUCAACAUUUGUAAAUAUUGACAUCUCUAAACAUUAAUGAAUUGGGUCCAAUUUUAAUAAUUUGAAUCUUUAUUGCACUACGAAUCAAAGAUAUUCACUGCUGAGUUACCAAUAGGUAACAUAACUGCAGAUUAGUGGUAGGUGCUAUUUUCAUGUGCUGUGGAUCCAGAGGACCUCUAUUUAAAAACUUAAUAUAGCUGUUUUCCAUGUCAGCCAUGAAAUGAUAAGUAAUAUCCUCCCAUCUUUUUCCCCCCAUCAUUUUUAUAAAUUAAAAAAAAAAGGAAAAUUUACUUGGAGGAGUAAAGUGUGUCAGAAUCUUCACUGAAAAAAUUUUGUAAAGCACAUACUCAUUGGAAAGUGACAAGAAUCCAUAAAGAACUGCAAGAAAAUAUGUUGUUUCUAAAGGAAGUUAAUUCUAAGGGAAGUUAACCCCAAAACCUACUUUAAAUUACAUUGCCUGUUUCACACUGUUUCAUCUACUUUUAUUACCUACCAGCUUUCUCUCACCCCUGAAAUGUCCCAUUUCUAACUGUGCCUUUAUAUUUUAAUCUACACCUCAACAAUAUUGAAAUAUGCAUCAUAGUUUUUUCUUAUGGAUAAAGUUUUGGGGAGUAGUCUGUGAAGAAAAUCCUUUUCAGGCACAUUAAAGGGAAUAUUUGCUAAGAUCAAGUUAGAAAAGAUUUACUCUGAAAAGAAAUUUUGAAGGGAGGGUUUAUGGAGUGAAGAACAGUUUCUGGAAUAGAACGUGAGCAUGGAAUACAUUUUCUGAAAAGCCACCAUUUUUUAGACUAUGUGAGGUAUUCAUAUGUGUAUAUGUGUGAAAGAGAAAGUGAGGGUGGCAGAAAUAGAGCUCAUCAUUUCUGCUACCAUCCAUAAUAAUUUUCAAGGAAUUCCAGAUGAUUCCUGACUAACUCAUUCUCUUCCUUUGGUAGUAAAAACAUAAUCCAUACAAGUAAAAAAAAAAAAAAAAAAAAAAAAA